AGAAUCAACGCUGGCGGCGUGCCUAACACAUGCAAGUCGAACGAGAAAGGGCAGCAAUGCCUGAGUAAAGUGGCGCACGGGUGAGUAACACGUGACUAACCUACCUUUGAGUGGGGGAUAACCUAGGGAAACCUGGGCUAAUACCGCAUAAUACCUACGGGUCAAGGCGAGCAAUCGCGCUUAAAGAGGGGGUCGCGGCAGAUUAGCUAGUUGGUGAGGUAAUGGCUCACCAAGGCGAUGAUCUGUA
rnacentral:rRNA from 1 species